rnacentral:rRNA from 1 species
ACGGGUGAGUAAUGUCUGGGGAUCUGCCCGAUAGAGGGGGAUAACCACUGGAAACGGUGGCUAAUACCGCAUAACGUCGCAAGACCAAAGAGGGGGACCUUCGGGCCUCUCACUAUCGGAUGAACCCAGAUGGGAUUAGCUAGUAGGCGGGGUAAUGGCCCACCUAGGCGACGAUCCCUAGCUGGUCUGAGAGGAUGACCAGCCACACUGGAACUGAGACACGGUCCAGACUCCUACGGGAGGCAGCAGUGGGGAAUAUUGCACAAUGGGCGCAAGCCUGAUGCAGCCAUGCCGCGUGUAUGAAGAAGGCCUUCGGGUUGUAAAGUACUUUCAGCGGGGAGGAAGGCGGUGAGGUUAAUAACCUUGCCGAUUGACGUUACCCGCAGAAGAAGCACCGGCUAACUCCGUGCCAGCAGCCGCGGUAAUACGGAGGGUGCAAGCGUUAAUCGGAAUUACUGGGCGUAAAGCGCACGCAGGCGGUCUGUUAAGUCAGAUGCGAAAUCCCCGGGCUUAACCUGGGAACUGCAUUUGAAACUGGCAGGCUUGAGUCUCGUAGAGGGGGGUAGAAUUCCAGGUGUAGC